rnacentral:rRNA from 1 species
UGGGGAAUAUUGGACAAUGGGCGAAAGCCUGAUCCAGCCAUGCCGCGUGUGUGAAGAAGGUCUUCGGAUUGUAAAGCACUUUAAGUUGGGAGGAAGGGCAGUAAGCGAAUACCUUGCUGUUUUGAUGUUACCGACAGAAUAAGCACCGGCUAACUCUGUGCCAGCAGCCGCGGUAAUACAGAGGGUGCAAGCGUUAAUCGGAAUUACUGGGCGUAAAGCGCGCGUAGGUGGUUCGUUAAGUUGAAUGUGAAAGCCCCGGGCUCAACCUGGGAACUGCAUCCAAAACUGGCGAGCUAGAGUAGGGCAGAGGGUGGUGGAAUUUCCUGUGUAGCGGUGAAAUGCGUAGAUAUAGGAAGGAACACCAGUGGCGAAGGCGACCACCUGGGCUCAUACUGACACUGAGGUGCGAAAGCGUGGGGAGCAAACAGG